rnacentral:rRNA from 1 species
UACAGAGGGUGCAAGCGUUAUUCGGAAUUACUGGGCGUAAAGCGCGUGUAGGUGGUUUUGUAAGUCUGGUGUGAAAGCCCACGACUCAAUCGUGGAAGUGCACUGGAUACUGCAAGACUAGAGUACAGGAGAGGUGAACGGAAUUCCUGGUGUAGAGGUGAAAUUCGUAGAUAUCAGGAGGAACAACGGAGGCGAAAGCGGUUCACUGGACUGUCACUGACACUGAGACGCGACAGCGUGGGGAGCGAACGGG